rnacentral:misc_RNA from 1 species
GGACGGUAUAAGCGGUGACGAGGCUGAUCUAACGCACAGAAGAGAGGUAUUUGGCGCCAACAGGCACCAGAAACCGCCUUCAAAAAGCUUCAUUAGCUUUGUCUUUGAAGCAUUCAAAGAUACAACCAUUAUCAUUCUUUUAGUCUGUGCCUUUUUGUCUCUGGGCUUUGGCAUUAAACAGCAUGGCCCAAAAGAUGGCUGGUAUGAUGGUGGGAGCAUCAUUGUUGCCAUCGUACUUGUUAUUGUUGUCUCCUCUGUGAGCAACUUCAAGCAAUCCAAGCAAUUUGAGAAGCUAUCAGAUGCCAGCAGUGAUAUAAAGGUGC